rnacentral:rRNA from 1 species
AUUGAACGCUGGCGGCAGGCCCAACACAUGCAAGUCGAACGGUAACAGGAAGAAGCUUGCUUCUUUGGUGACGAGUGGCGGACGGGUGAGUAAUGUCUGGGAAACUGCCUGAUGGAGGGGGAUAACUACUGGAAACGGUAGCUAAUACCGCAUAACGUCGCAAGACCAAAGAGGGGGACCUUCGGGCCUCUUGCCAUCGGAUGUGCCCAGAUGGGAUUAGCUAGUAGGUGGGGUAACGGCUCACCUAGGCGACGAUCCCUAGCUGGUCUGAGAGGAUGACCAGCCACACUGGAACUGAGACACGGUCCAGACUCCUACGGGAGGCAGCAGUGGGGAAUAUUGCACAAUGGGCGCAAGCCUGAUGCAGCCAUGCCGCGUGUAUGAAGAAGGCCUUCGGGUUGUAAAGUACUUUCAGCGGGGAGGAAGGGAGUAAAGUUAAUACCUUUGCUCAUUGACGUUACCCGCAGAAGAAGCACCGGCUAACUCCGUG